rnacentral:tRNA from 1 species
GGAGGGAUGUCCGAGUGGCUUAAGGAGCACGAUUGGAAAUCGUGUGUGCGGGAGAACCGUACCUAGGGUUCAAAUCCCUAUCCCUCCGCCA